AGUGCAGCUUUGUAGUCAGAGAGGCUAGGGGGAUAAAGAUGGGGUGGUUUUCUGAGAGUCACCUGUGCAAGCAAAAUGUCAGUCCCUGGAUUCCUGAUGGCAAAGCCAGUGGGGUGUAGCAGACAAGGCUCAGAGCAGAGCAGGGAAUCUUGGUUUUAGGUCACUCUCCACUGUGACUGGAGGGACCUUGGUUGCUGUGUCCACAAACUGGGCCCUAGGAAUCUUCUGAUGAGGUGUGGGGCUGGGGUAGGGGAGGGACAGGCAGCUGGGAAGAGAGGAGGGUGGAGGCCCUGUGAGGUUCUGUCAAAGGCCUUUCUGUCUGAGUCUACAGGAUCAUGGUGGUGGUUGUCUUCACGCCUGGAUGUGUUCCCUGCGCCACGCCUGCCCUGCAAGCUGGGACCAGUUUUUCCACUCCCUCCCACUAGCAGUGUGGACUUGUAGAGCAAGGGAGGGUGAUCAAGAGGAAGAACGUGAAGUCUGCCCAGCGUUCCCAUGCCUCUCUCCCACUGGUGAGAGUUGAUGGUGACAGCUAGAACUCCCAAGGCCCAGUGAGGGGACCAUUAGCCAAGAGUCACACUGCCCAGUGCAUUCCCAGUCUCCGACUCCUGAGUCCUUGUCUCCUGAACCACUUUUGUGGAAGCCCAAGGCCAGCCUCAUCAAGUGGCAGUUGCUCUGUAGCUUCCUGUUCCCCCAGAAGAUCCACCCCGCCACAGUGACUGCAGAAGCCCUUCAAGAAAGGAACCAGCUGGGCCAACGAUGGAGCUCAUCUCCACCCUCAUGAUAUGAAGAAGUGAUGGCUGUCUACAAUGAGCCAUCAGGGGAUAUUAACCCUCCUCGUCACAGCCCAGAAGCCACAGCCACGGAGUUGAUGCUGCCACUUCAAGGUCUCCAACUAAGAGGGAGAGUCCCAGGAAACUGCUGGUUUUGACUACUUCAGAUUUUAUAGAGUUAAGAAGCCCUAACACCCAGCAUCCUGAAACAUUAGGAAUACAGACUUGUGUUUCAGCUUCCUGUGUUAUACUGAUGGAAACAAACAAACAAAUGCCUUAACAAUCUCUAA
rnacentral:lncRNA from 1 species